GAUGAACGCUAGCGGCAGGCUUAAUACAUGCAAGUCGAACGGUAACAGGUCUGUAGCAAUACAGAUGCUGACGAGUGGCAGACGGGUGAGGAACACGUACACAACCUUCCUUUAUCUGGUGAAUAGCCCCUCGAAAGAGGGAUUAAUACACCAUAGUAUCUUGGAGAGUCAUCUCUUUGGGAUUAAAGUUCCGGCGGAUACAGAUGGGUGUGCGUCUGAUUAGCUAGUUGGUUGAGGUAACGGCUCACCAAGGCGACGAUCAGUAACUGGUGUGAGAGCACGACCAGUCACACGGGCACUGAGAUACGGGCCCGACUCCUACGGGAGGCAGCAGUAAGGAAUAUUGGUCAAUGGACGCAAGUCUGAACCAGCCAUGCCGCGUGCAGGAUGAAGGCGCUCUGCGUCGUAAACUGCUUUUAUCAGGGAAGAAAUCACUUGUUUCUACGAGUGUUGACGGUACCUGAGGAAUAAGCACCGGCUAACUCCGUGCCAGCAGCCGCCGUAAGAC
rnacentral:rRNA from 1 species